UUGCAGCAGAAACACCCUGCUAAAGAGCAAGUAUCUUGAUUCACAGCAAAGAGGACAAAGGAAAACAGCAAGUUAUAGGGCGUUGAAUCCUGGAUUGGAGAAAUCCGGAGUGAAUGGAGGCAGCGCCCUCAGCAGCCCUUGCCCUUUGUUCUUCUGAGAUUCUCUGGGAGCUCUGCUACCCUUUCAAAGUUAAUGGUCUGAACAAUAGUAUUUGGCCACUGAAUAAGCAAACACAACUGUUCCAGGUGUGAUAUCGCAAACUACAACUAUCCAGGA